rnacentral:lncRNA from 1 species
AUCUACUUACAAAAUGGAAUAAAAAAUUUUUUUUCUACUUACAAAAAAUCAAAAAUUUAUUAUAUGCAUAGCAAGAUGGACAUUCAUUUUUUUGAAACUUGUUUGGUGCUAUAUGGUUGUGCUUGAGUUUUGGUGCAAUUCUUAACCCAGCUGUCAUUUUUUCUUCUAUCAAGAGUGCAUAGAAGUGUUCAUUUUAACUUCACUCUCAAGAAGCUUUACAAAGAUAAAAUAAUUAUAUAAAGAAUGAAUAAUUGGAUGUGAUAAGUUUCGUGUGUAAGUUAUCUUAAACAAAUCGCACUUCAGUAUCAUGUUUCAAAUACACUUGAUGGCAUGGAGGAUAUCAUACAUCACAAAUAUAUCUGUUGUGGCGACAGGCUUUUGAAAUGUUUUUCAAGUGCAUCAUUUCACCUGACAGUCCAAGCAAAUUUAGAUCAAGCUUGUUGGCGGUAGAUUCAUCUCACACAGUUCCCCUCACCAAUGCCUCACAGUGCUCUAAAUUAAUUAUUGCUUUCAGUAGGAAUUUUGGCAAAUAUUUCUCCUGGAGUUGUUCUUUGGCACAAAAUGUUCCAAUUGUUUGCACCCAUCCACCCAAAUAUGGUUGAAAAAAACCAGCACAUGAUCAUCCAAGGUGUCUUGAUUCUUUUUUUAUUUAUAUUGUCUCCAUAAUCAUUUAAUCCCAUCAAAUGAUCUGUGUUGUUCUUAUAUUCCACAUGCUUUUAAAGGCUCAUUUUGUUCUAUAUCAGAAUACCCUUACAUUCAUUUUCAGGAAUUGUUUGCAAUUUUUUUUUUAAUGCUGCAAACAUUUCUGUAUCAAAACCAAAUAUUGAGCUUAUUCCUUUAAUGUAUCUAUGUAAUGUUGUGCAAUCUGCUAAGAUCAUGUAGUUAUUUAUAAGGAAAUUGUAGGAUUUCAGAGUUCUUAUUCUCAACAGAAGACACACUAUCAACCAUUCUGGCUUAUUCACAUCCUAUGACUGAUUUCAUGUUUCAUAGUCUCAAAAACAUGUUUGAUUAACAUUUGUUGAUGGGUGGAAUUUUUUUUCUUGC